rnacentral:lncRNA from 1 species
CCUUAUCAGCCAACAUAUUCUCACAAAAACUUUCUCCUCAGGUGAUCUACAUUAGUCAAAUUGCUAGAUCAUAGUCUCAGAAAACAAACAAGAGGUAUGGUCACAUACACUCAUCCCUCUGCUUAUAUCACAUAAACAUCAUUAAACCAUAAUUUUACAAGACAUACAUUCAUAAAUGACCCAUGAUGCACUUUCUCAAUAGCUACAUUUUCAUGAUGUCGGGAAGAUCAAACACACACGAGACGGCCGACAAAUUGAAGGUAUGGCAACAACUCCAGCAAGUUGCAUCCAAUAUACGCCGGCGACACCCAAACGAUCAUAGGCACAAAGAAACAUCCAACGAACUGAAGACACAACAUCAGCACCAUCAGCCUCAGGUAAUAUCCCGAUGCAAUUCUUCAUGUGUGUGCCUGCAUUUUGAUCUCAGCUCAACAUUGCGUCAAAACUCUUCUCAUACUGAACUAUAAAGCUCUUUUUUUUCAUGCAUCCUAACACUACCAUGAUAAUAAUGUGAAAGCUACAAAAAGAGCAACAUGGUUGAACAAUUAUUGAUUUUUAGUUCCCUACCAGAUAAACAACAUUAAUCUCCAGAUGUACUGUAUGUGACAACGUCCAUUAGUAGUCAUCACCAAAUGCACUUGCAUGCCUGCAAAAGCAAAACACUAUUAAGUACUCUCUCUGUAGAGAUAUAAGAGUGUUUAGAUCACUACUUUAGUAAUCUAAACGCUCUUAUAUUUCUUUACGGAGGGAUUACAAAAUAAAUCAUAUUACAUGAUACUAUGUUAAGGAAACUAUACGCACUGACGAAAUCACAUUUGCAGAUAUGAGAGUCCAACAUAUGUUAGACCCAGCAGCUCACCAGACAAAAAGAAAGAAAGAACAACCUCUAAACUCAAGGAGUACAAAGCGGACAAGGACUGCAGAGGGAAGAAGAAAUGCGAACAUAGAGGCUCCUAAACGAUUGAGAAAGGCUAAUGCUGAAGAAGAUAGGGAACUGAAGCGCGCCAGAAGCGAAACCAACAAAAACAACACUAGAGUCAAUGUUGGAGACAACAACAGAACCAGAACCUCGACAAGUGCUAAUAGCAAGCCAUGGAACUUCGGAAGGCCAACAUACAAAUGCCAAUAUUGCAAAGCAUUGCUAUGGUGUGAAGAAAGAUUAAAUUCAAAUAAAGGAACUACAUCACCCUCUUUUGGAAUAUGCUGCAAACAAGGGAAAAUCGAUCUGCCGCCACUAAGAGAACCUCCACCAUACCUUAGAAACCUCUUAAGAAGUGAAGGGCAGGAUUCAGUAAACUUCAAAGAAAAUAUAAGGUCAUACAACUCAAUGUUUUCAUUCACAUCGAUGGGAGGAGCUGUGGACAAGGAAAUAAACACUCGCAAAGGACCUUAUGUUUUUUGUUUGCAUGGACAAAACUACCACCAUAUCGGAACUCCUUUGCCUCAAGGUACAGACAAACCUCGGUUUGCACAACUAUACAUCUAUAAUACUGAAAAUGAGGUGGAAAACAGGAUAAGUGCGUCAAGAUGCAAUGAUAAAAAAUCAACAGUGGACCCCAACAUCGUCAAAGAACUGAAAAUAAUGCUCGAUGACAACAACAUCCUCGCAAAAACAUUCAGAAUGGCAAGAGAUAGAUUCCAAGAAGGAGACUACCAUGAUUACACACUUCGGAUACUAGGCAAAAGGAAGGGAACACACAACCUUCCAUCCGCAUCUGAAGUUGCAGCAUUGGUAGUAAGAGAUCCAACCGGAGAGAGUGAAGGACGUGACAUUGUUGUUGAGUACAAAAAUAUGGAGCCUCAAAGGAUAUCAGAGAUCCACCCAAAAUUCAUGUCCAUGCAAUAUCCGUUGUUGUUCCCAUAUGGAGAAGAUGGUUUUAAACUUGAGAUACCCUACAAGAAAACAAAAGGAGAUACAAACAGCAGGAAAUAUGUAACGCUGUUGGACUACUAUGCAUUCUACCUACAGCAACGUCCUGAUCAAGGAAUGUUACUACUCAAGUCCGGGCAUUUUUCACUGCAAUUUUGGGUGGAUGUAUACACAUGUAUCGAGCAAAAUAGACUAAACUGGAUCCGACACAAUCAAGGAAAGCUACGAACUGAACUUUACAGUGGAUUGCAGGAUGCGAUUGAGCGAGGGGACACAAGAACAGAGCAAGUUGGAAAGAGGAUAAUUGUGCCUUCAUCUUUUAUAGGUGGUAGAAGAAACAAGGCACAAUAUUUGCAAGAUGCCUUUGCAAUAUGCCGUUGGGCUGGAUACCCAGACCUAUUUAUAACAUUCACAUGCAAUGCAAAGUGGCCUGAGAUCCAAUACAUGCUAGAUGAAGCGGGAGGUGGCCAAAAGCCAGCCGAUUGGCCAGACAUUGUGGACAAAGUAUUUAUGAUCAAACUAAAGGAGCUAAUGAGAGACAUAAAAGAAAAGAAAUACUUUGGAGAAAUAGUUGCAAGUAAGUCCCAUUGACUAUCAAUCUUUACUCUUUCUUGCAUCAUCUUAUAGUCCGUCAGACUGUUGCUCUUUAGAAACAUGCAUCAUCUUAUACUCCGUCAGAUUCUAGCUCUUUAGUAACAUGCAUUCCAAUUUAAGCUAAAUCUGACAAACUAUUAAUCAACUGCAGUCAUCUACACAAUAGAAUUCCAGAAGAGAGGACUCCCGCAUGCGCACAUACUAAUAUUUUUGAAGGACAAAGACAAGUACCCGGAACCAUCGCAAAUCGACAAAAUAAUAAGCAUUGAGAUCCCAAACAAGGAUGAGGAUCCAGAGGCAUUUGAAGCUGUUGAGAACUUCAUCAUGCAUGGCCCGUGCAGAGAGGCUAAGAAAAACUCACCAUGCAUGGUGGACCAUAGAUGCACCAAGCAUUUCCCAAAAAGAUACAAUGUCAGCACUAC